rnacentral:ncRNA from 1 species
GAACCGCAGGUACGGACCAAUGGCACAAUACUUGUUCGAGCGAACAGUGGUAUGACGCUACGUCCGUUGGAUUAUGCCUGAACGCCUCUAAGGUCGUAUCCGUGCUGGACUGCAAUGAUAAAUAAGGGGCAAUUUGCAUUGUAUGGCUUCUAAACCAUUAAAAGUUUAUAAUUUAUUUUAUAAACGACAAUGGAUGUGAUGCCAAUGUAAUUUGUAACAUAGUAAAUUGGGAGGAUCAUCGAUCACCUGAUGCCGCGCUAGUUGCAUAUAAAAACAUUAUUUAAUACAAUGACAAAGCCUAGAAUCAAUUGUAAACGACUUUUGUAACAGGCAAGGUGUUGUAAGUGGUUGAGCAGCUACCAUACUGCGAUCCACUGAAGCUUAUCCUUUGCUUGAUGAUUCGA